GAUGAACGCUGGCGGCGUGCCUAAUACAUGCAAGUCGAGCGAACAGACGAGGAGCUUGCUCCUCUGACGUUAGCGGCGGACGGGUGAGUAACACGUGGAUAACCUACCUAUAAGACUGGGAUAACUUCGGGAAACCGGAGCUAAUACCGGAUAAUAUAUUUAACCGCAUGGUUCAAUAGUGAAAGACGGUUUUGCUGUCACUUAUAGAUGGAUCCGUGCCGCAUUAGCUAGUUGGUAAGGUAACGGCUUACCAAGGCAACGUUGCGUAGCCGACCUGAGAGGGUGAUCGGCCACACAGGAACUGAGACACGUUCCAGCUACAUACGGGAGGCAGCAGUAGGGAAUCUUCCGCAAUGGGCGAAAGCAUGACGGAGCAACGCCGCGUGAGUGAUGAAGGUCUUCGGAUCGUAAAUCUCUGUUAUUAGGGAAGAACAAAUGUGUAAGUAACGAUGCACGUCUUGACGGUACCUAAUCAGAAAGCCACGGCUAACUACGC
rnacentral:rRNA from 1 species